AUAAGUUCCACCUAUACAUUUGGGUUCUCUGCCUUUUUAGGCCUGGAGUUAGAAAAGCUCAUUCUUAGUGUAUUCUUUGCUUUGACGAAACAGGAGCACAGAACAUUUUGUACACCCAAUGUUUAGAAACUUUCAGGAUCUGGCUGAUUCUCACAUGGACAUUUACAGAGCUGUCCCUAAGCCACUCACUUGAUGUCUUAGCUGUAUGCUCACUGUGCUGUUGGAGAGUGCACCAUUGGACCUGUCUGAGUUCCUGACCACUCUGGAACAUUAACAAUACAUCCUGCUGCUGAAAACACCCCCACAACAUGAUGGGGGUGGAUGGGUGGCCAGCUCUACAAAGUGUCCUAAUUGUUCUAAAUAUCUUCUGUUAGAUAAUUAUGGAGUCACUCUUCUUAAUUGAAACUUCACUGCAACUGAAUGUUUUAUAGCCUUCCACAGAUCUGUGCCUCAACGCAAUCUUGUCUGUGAGGUAGUUCCUCAGUUCUAAAGGGUUGUUUUUUGCUUUGAGAUGCAUUUUCUGCUGUUAUGUUCGUCUUGUGCUCUUAAAUGUUGAUUAAUGUAAACACGGUAAAACUGCUUUAAUCAGACCUGAGUGGUUUAAUUGGUUUUAAAAUUUCUUCUGUGAAAACUAUUCUUCAAAAAGCCAGCCUUUCUUACACCACCAGUUUUCAGGUCUAUUACUACAAAUAUCAUGUCUGUGUGAAUCAUAACAUUGCAUAAUUCCACUAUGACAAGAACAGUGCCAAAAAAAAUAAAAAAUAAAUAAAAAAUAGGAAUGAUGGCAAA